GACGAACGCUGGCGGCGUGCCUAAUACAUGCAAGUUGAGCGCUGAAGGUUGGUACUUGUACCAACUGGAUGAGCAGCAAACGGGUGAGUAACGCGUGGGGAAUCUGCCUUUGAGCGGGGGACAACAUUUGGAAACGAAUGCUAAUACCGCAUAAAAACUUUAAUCACAAGUUUUAAGUUUGAAAGAUGCAAUUGCAUCACUCAAAGAUGAUCCCGCGUUGUAUUAGCUAGUUGGUGAGGUAAAGGCUCACCAAGGCGAUGAUACAUAGCCGACCUGAGAGGGUGAUCGGCCACAUUGGGACUGAGACACGGCCCAAACUCCUACGGGAGGCAGCAGUAGGGAAUCUUCGGCAAUGGACGAAAGUCUGACCGAGCAACGCCGCGUGAGUGAAGAAGGUUUUCGGAUCGUAAAACUCUGUUGGUAGAGAAGAACGUUGGUGAGAGUGGAAAGCUCAUCAAGUGACGGUAACUACCCAGAAAGGGACGGCUAACUACGUG
rnacentral:rRNA from 1 species